AACGAACGCUGGCGGCAUGCCUAACACAUGCAAGUCGAACGAGACCUUCGAGUCUAGUGGCGCACGGGUGCGUAACGCGUGGGAACCUGCCCUUAGGUUCGGAAUAACUCCCCGAAAGGGGUGCUAAUACCGGAUAAUGUCUUCGGACCAAAGAUUUAUCGCCUUUGGAUGGGCCCGCGUUGGAUUAGCUAGUUGGUAGGGUAAAAGCCUACCAAGGCGACGAUCAUAGCUGGUCUGAGAGGAUGAUCAGCCACACUGGGACUGAGACACGGCCCAGACUCCUACGGGAGGCAGCAGUGGGGAAUAUUGGACAAUGGGCGAAAGCCUGAUCCAGCAAUGCCGCGUGAGUGAUGAAGGCCUUAGGGUUGUAAAGCUCUUUUACCCGGGAUGAUAAUGACAGUACCGGGAGAAUAAGCUCCGGCUAACUCCGUG
rnacentral:rRNA from 1 species